AGACCUGGCAAUAUAGUUGGUUAACUGUCGGGUCAACUCAUAUUAACUGGAACCAAAUGAGUUGGUUAACUGUUUUUAUUUAUUUGGGUUGGUUAAAGUUUGGAACCAUAUUUUUAAAAAGAAAUAUAGUUCCAACUCGGUUAACCAUUUUUCGACCCAUAUUUUAUUCCAAAUCCAAAUCAAAAGUUCUUUCCAUCCAUAUUUAGAUAUUCAAGAAGCUCA
rnacentral:lncRNA from 1 species